GUCUAUGGCCAUGCUACCCUGAACAAGCCCAAUCCCAUCUGAUCUUGGAAGCUAAGCAGGUUCGGGCCUGGUUAGUACUUGGAUGGGAGACCACCUAGGAAGACCAGGUGCUAUAGGCG
rnacentral:rRNA from 1 species